rnacentral:rRNA from 1 species
UGGGGGAUUUUGCACAAUGGGCGCAAGCCUGAUGCAGCGACGCCGCGUGAGGGAUGAAGGCCUUCGGGUUGUAAACCUCUUUCGCUGGGUUGAAAGGCCAUGCUUUGGGUGUGGUUGAUUUGAACUGGUAAAGAAGUACCGGCUAACUACGUGCCAGCAGCCGCGGUAAUACGUAGGGUACUAGCGUUGUCCGGAUUUAUUGGGCGUAAAGGGCUUGUAGGUGGUUUGUCGCGUCUGUCGUGAAAUCCUGUGGCUUAACCAUGGGCUUGCGGUGGGUACGGGCAGGCUUGAGUGCGGUAGGGGAGACUGGAAUUCCUGGUGUAGCGGUGGAAUGCGCAGAUAUCAGGAGGAACACCGGUGGCGAAGGCGGGUCGCUGGGCCGUUACUGACACUGAGGAGCGGAAGCGUGGGGAGCGAACAGG